CAAGAAUAUUAGCAAUGCUCGAAAGAGUAACUAGCUAACUGAAUCACUUAAGAAUGAUACGUAAGGGAAAAUAAUGAUACUACCUUACUAUAAGUGUUGUCCAAAUCUGGUGCCAGAAGACUCGGUAAGGCCAGAAACGCGAACGUUAGUCAUCUUAAACAGGCGUAAAGGGUGAGUAGGCAACUUCAAAAUUCUAAUUUUUUAAAUAGCAAAAAGAAGCGGGAAAGUAGAAGAUAGAAUCUAAUAUAGGAAAAAAUAAAAUCGGGAAUUAAGGUUAAAAUCUGCAGUAAACUCGAUAGAAUACUAAUGGCGAAGGCAUUUUUCCAUUAAUGAUUGACGCUGAGGAACGAAGGAUAGGAUAAGAAACAGGAUUAGAUACCCUGGUACCCCUUUCUGUAAACGAUGAAUGGUAGUCACUAAAAAUUAUUAGUGUCAAUGUUAACACGUUAACCAUUCCGCCUUGUGAGUACGAUUGCAAAAUUGAAAACAAAAAAAUUAGUCGGUCUCGAAGCAAACGAAGUGAAGCAUGUUAUUUAAUUCGAU
rnacentral:rRNA from 1 species